CAUGAACGCUGGCGGCAUGCCUAAUACAUGCAAGUCGAACGAGAGGAAGGAAAGCUUGCUUUCCUGAAUCUAGUGGCGAACGGGUGAGUAACACGUAGGUAACCUGCCCAUGUGCCCGGGAUAACUUCUGGAAACGGAUGCUAAAACCGGAUAGGUAGCAGACAAGCAUUUGACUGUUAUUAAAGUGGCCUUGGCCAUGAACAUGGAUGGACCUGCGGUGCAUUAGCUAGUUGGUGAGGUAACGGCCCACCAAGGCGACGAUGCAUAGCCGGCCUGAGAGGGCGGACGGCCACAUUGGGACUGAGACACGGCCCAAACUCCUACGGGAGGCAGCAGUGGGGAAUUUUCGUCAAUGGGGGGAACCCUGAACGAGCAAUGCCGCGUGAGUGAGGAAGGUCUUCGGAUCGUAAAGCUCUGUUGUAAGAGAAAAGCGGCACUCAUAGGGAAUGAUGAGUGAGUGAUGGUAUCUUACCAGAAAGUCACGGCUAACUACGUGCCAGCCGCCGCAGUAACAC
rnacentral:rRNA from 1 species